AUGAUCCCCCAGAUCAUCGGUCAGGCCAAGGAGCAUCCUAGCUUGAUCCCCCUCUUCAUAUUUAUUGGAGCGGGAGGUACUGGAGCAGCGCUGUAUGUUUUGCGCCUGGCAUUGUUCAAUCCAGAUGUCAGUUGGGACAGAGAGAAUAACCCAGAACCCUGGAACAAACUGGGUCCCAAUGAUCAGUACAAGUUCUACUCAGUGAAUGUAGAUUACAGCAAACUGAAGAAAGAAGGUCCAGACUUCUAAAUGAAAUGUUUCAC